rnacentral:tRNA from 1 species
GGGGGUGUGGUUCAGGGGUAGGGUUCCUGCCUAGCAUGCAUGAGGCCCUGGGUUCGAUCCCCAGCACAGCCA